rnacentral:rRNA from 1 species
UACGGAGGGUGCAAGCGUUAUCCGGAUUCACUGGGUUUAAAGGGUGCGUAGGUGGGUUGGUAAGUCAGUGGUGAAAUCUCCGUGCUUAACAUGGAAACUGCCAUUGAUACUACUGAUCUUGAAUUUUCUGGAGGUAAGCGGAAUAUGUCAUGUAGCGGUGAAAUGCUUAGAUAUGACAUAGAACACCAAUUGCGAAGGCAGCUUACUACAGGAAUAUUGACACUGAGGCACGAAAGCGUGGGGAUCAAACAGG